rnacentral:rRNA from 1 species
ACUUGAGAUGGCAACUCACCCUGAAUACAUUCGAUCUCAUCAGAUCUCGGUAGUUAAGCAGAAUUAAGUCUGGUUAAUAUUUGGAUGGAAGAAUGCCUCGGAAUGCAAAGAUAUUGUAGGUU